CUAUGCGCCUUGCCAGCCCGCUCAGAAACUUAAAGAAUUGCCGGGGGCCCGCACAAGCAGCGGAGCAUGUGGUUUAAUUCGAAGCAACGCGAAGAACCUUACCAAGACUUGACAUCCCCUGACAGCUGUUGAAAGGCAGUGUCUCUUCGGAGCAGGGAGACAGGUGGUGCAUGGUUGUCGUCAGCUCGUGUCGUGAGAUGUUGGGUUAAGUCCCGCAACGAGCGCAACCCUUAUCCUUAGUUACCAGCACGUAAAGGUGGGGACUCUAGGGAGACCGCCGGGGACGACUCGGAGGAAGGUGGGGACGACGUCAAAUCAUCAUGCCCCUUAUGUCUUGGGCUACACACGUGCUACAAUGGCCGCAACAGAGGGAAGCGAGAGCGCAAGCUGGAGCAAAACCCUAAAAAGCGGUCCCAGUUCGGAUUGUGGGCUGCAACCCGCCCACAUGAAGUCGGAGUUGCUAGUAAUCGCGAAUCAGCAUGUCGCGGUGAAUGCGUUCCCGGGCCUU
rnacentral:rRNA from 1 species